ACAAAAGAUGGCAGCACGGUGUCUUAGUGGUUAGCACUGUUGCCUCACAGCGAGAAGGUCAUGGGUUUAAUACCCACCUGUGGUCUUUCUGUGUGGAGCUUCCAUGUUCUCCCCAUGUUUGUGUGGGUUUCCUCCCACAUUUCAAAGACACGCAGGUUAGGUGAAUUGG